UAUUUCGUUCCCUCGAAAUAAUCAUAUUAGCAUUAGCAUCGAUUUAGCAUAUCUUUCCCACGGAUGAAGCACAUUGACCAGUGAGUGGAGGAGCACGGAGCAGUCUGGAGCAUCUCACGUUCUCAGUCGUCAGAUGCCAACCAACCGCUGAAGUUAUCCUGAACUAAAAGGAGGAACGCUGCUCUAAUCUGACCAACCUUUGCCACGGUGUACCUGUGCACCAGAUUGAUGCGCCUGUAAUCCCUGCCCUAAAUCUGAACAUAGGAUUGCUGCUGUUGCAUUUUGCAGUCAAGCCAACCGAUCCCAGCCA